AUUGAACGCUGGCGGCAUGCCUAACACAUGCAAGUCGAACGGAAACGAUGCUAGCUUGCUAGCAGGCGUCGAGUGGCGGACGGGUGAGUAAUGUAUAGGGAUCUGCCUAGUAGUGGGGGACAACAUGUGGAAACGCAUGCUAAUACCGCAUACGCUCUACGGAGGAAAGUGGGGGACCUUUCGGGGCCUCACGCUACUAGAUGAACCUAUAUUGGAUUAGCUUGUUGGUAAGGUAAUGGCUUACCAAGGCGACGAUCCAUAGCUGGUUUGAGAGAAUGAUCAGCCACACUGGGACUGAGACACGGCCCAGACUCCUACGGGAGGCAGCAGUGGGGAAUAUUGCACAAUGGACGAAAGUCUGAUGCAGCAAUGCCGCGUGUGUGAAGAAGGCCUUAGGGUUGUAAAGCACUUUCAAUAGGGAGGAAAAGUAGUUAUUUAAUAAAUGACUGCCCUGACGUUACCUAUAGAAGAAGGACCGGCUAACUCCGUGCCAGCAGCCGCGGUAAUACGGAGGGUCCGAGCGUUAAUCGGAAUUACUGGGCGUAAAGCGCGCGUAGGCGGAUAUUUAAGUCAGAUGUGAAAUCCCUGGGCUCAACCUAGGAACUGCAUUUGAUACUGGAUAUCUAGAGUAUGGUAGAGGUGAGUGGAAUUUCAGGUGUAGCGGUGAAAUGCGUAGAGAUCUGAAGGAACAUCAGUGGCGAAGGCGACUCACUGGGCCAUUACUGACGCUGAGGUGCGAAAGCGUGGGUAGCAAACAGGAUUAGAUACCCUGGUAGUCCACGCCCUAACGAUGUCAACUAGGUGUAUGGGAGUUUAACUCCUGUGUAUCGAAGCUAACGCGAUAG
rnacentral:rRNA from 1 species